rnacentral:rRNA from 1 species
AUGACUUUGGCCUUUUCACGAAAUAAACAAAAAAUAAAUUGUACUCUGCCUUUCCUAAUGGCAAAGCUAUUCUUUUUUAGGGAAAGGCAGAGCUCCAAAUGGCUUUUUUUUUUUUUGACAAAGAGCUCCAAAUGGCUGCCACUCUCCAAGACGCCACGCGUUCAUGGCUUUACCAAAGCCCAGCACAAGACGACGAAGGCGUGGGCUCUCGGCCCGUGCGGCACUGAGUUUCCAAGUCUGAACUCCACUCACUCCCGACGAUCGCUCCAGUGGUUGGUUCAUUUGCACCCACGCCACGCCACGAUCCCCCCCGAACAAAAAUCCGUCAGUCGACGUCGACGUGCAGGUUCAGAUACCUCUGGCCAUUCUACCGCGGGCAGGCCGGCAGUGGGCGAACGUGGACGGUAA